GGCGGCAUGCCUAACACAUGCAAGUCGAACGAGGUAGCAAUACCUAGUGGCGCACGGGUGAGUAAUACUUAGGUAACCUUCCUUUUACUGUGGAAUAACCUGUCGAAAGACGGGCUAAUACUGCAUACGUCUAGUCUGUGAUUCAGAUUAGAGAAAGGUGGCUAGCAAUAGCUAUCGGUGAAAGAUGGGCCUGAGCCUGAUUAGCUAGUUGGUGGGGUAAAAGCCCACCAAGGCGACGAUCAGUAGCUGGUCUGAGAGGACGAUCAGCCACACUGGAACUGAAACACGGUCCAGACUCCUACGGGAGGCAGCAGUGGGGAAUAUUGGACAAUGGGGGAAACCCUGAUCCAGCAAUGCCGCGUGAGUGAUGAAGGCCUUCGGGUCGUAAAGCUCUGUCGAAAGGGACGAAACCUGGGUAGGCUAAUAUCCUAUCCAAUUGACGGUACCUUUAAAGGAAGCACCGGCUAACUCUGUGCCAGCAGCCGCGGUAAUACAGA
rnacentral:rRNA from 1 species